CAUGCACUGGUGGGGUCCCUCGGCCUGGCCUGUGCCCUCUCGUAAUCCAAGACCCCUCGGGGAAUGUCAGAGAGUCGGUUUCAGCCUGAUCCUGCAGGCCAGGCCGAGGGACCCCACUGGUGCAUG
rnacentral:pre_miRNA from 1 species